rnacentral:rRNA from 1 species
AGAUUGAACGCUGGCGGCAGGCCUAACACAUGCAAGUCGAGCGGUAGAGAGGUGCUUGCACCUCUCGAGAGCGGCGGACGGGUGAGUAAUGCCUAGGAAUCUGCCUAGUGGUGGGGGAUAACGUUCGGAAACGGACGCUAAUACCGCAUACGUCCUACGGGAGAAAGCGGGGGACCUUCGGGCCUCGCGCCAUUAGAUGAGCCUAGGUCGGAUUAGCUAGUUGGUGAGGUAAUGGCUCACCAAGGCGACGAUCCGUAACUGGUCUGAGAGGAUGAUCAGUCACACUGGAACUGAGACACGGUCCAGACUCCUACGGGAGGCAGCAGUGGGGAAUAUUGGACAAUGGGCGAAAGCCUGAUCCAGCCAUGCCGCGUGUGUGAAGAAGGUCUUCGGAUUGUAAAGCACGUUUAAGUUGGAGGUAAGGUUGUAAACGUUAAUACGUUAGACUAACUUUGACGUUAACCGACUAAGAAUAAGCAACCGGCUAACCGUUCGUGCCAGCAGCCGUA